AGAUUUUUGAGUUUACUCAAGGACGAAGGAAUGGAGCCCGUGAACCAGCUUCCUUGGAGAUUUAAGAUGGUGAGAUUCUCGAGGCUGGCGAGGAACGAAGGAAUGCUGCCGGCAGACGCAUCAGCUCUUUCCAGGAUGAGCUUCCUCAAGCUGGUAAGUUUUCCAAUAACCGAUGGAAACGGUCCUUCGAAUCUGUAACCUGACAGAUCCAGCGUUUGCAGCGUGGAUGCGAGCUGAGCAAGCGACGCUGGCAGUGCUCCGGAGAAGAAGUUGGUGCCCAAGUCGAGAACCUCCAGCCGAAGUAGCUUACCAAAGGUGGAAGGUAUCGGACCGUCCAUGCUAUUGCCGUGGACGUUGAGCGUACGGAGGUGGGAGAGGCUUCCCAGCUCCGGAGACAGCGUACCUGUUAAUCCCAGGGACUCCAGCUUGAGCUCGCUCACCCGGCCGCUAGCUCCAUCGCAUUUGAUACCAGACCACUCGCAGCAACUGGAUUGCGGGCUCCAAGUGGUAAGUAGCUUGCUUCGAUCUUGGUCGGCGUCCUUGAAAGCCAGCAAUGCCUUUUCAUCUUCACUGUUGCAGGACGCUGCGGUGGUGUGGUGGGCGAGCAGUGAAACUGUCAAAACAAGGAGGAAAGACAUACUUGUUCUAGACAUUGCGACUAAAACCACGGAUCAGUGACGAGGUAAAGUCGCUUGUUGUUUCGUAGGUACUUCUUUGUACUGAUCUUAUCUACAGGGAUGGGGAGUUCUUAAUUGCUGUCGGUGUCAGCCACCGUUUUGGACUUCGUUCGUGAUGAAAGUACUUGUAGUUUUUUUAGUGUUUUACUCAAGCGUAUUGUCGCUUUCGCCGAGUGGUUGGGGUUUCCCCGCGAGAGUUCGAAUCUCGCAGGCGACGCAAAUCAUUUUAUGUCAUGGCUCUGGGACACAAACCGUUAAUUUAGGGUUCUUCCUUUUCAUGUCUUAAAGUGGCGAUGGCGCGGCAAGCCCGGGAAUGGGGUACUUCUCUGACGCGGAGUUGGCUGCCCUCGCUCGAUCUGCCACCGAUCUGUCACAGGCCAAGCGCGCCCAUCUCGCCAUUCUCAGGAGUUCGCGCUCGUCAACUAGCCUUUUCCUUAAAAACCAUCUUGUCGACAUGUACGCAAAAUGUGGCAGCCUCCAUGACGCCAAGGCCGUCUUCGAUUCCAUCUAUGCGCCGAAUCUCCACUCCUGGAACAUCCUUCUUGCAGCAUAUGCCGCAAAUGGGCAUCUUUUUUAUACGAAGCGUGUCUUUGAUGGUAUGGUCCAGCGGGACGUGGUAACGUGGACAACCAUGGUCAAGGCAUAUUCCGAGAGUGGUUUCUUAGAUAUGGCCAGGCUAAUGUUUGAAAGAAUGCCACAGCGGAACGCAGUGUCUUGGAACGUUGUAAUAACUGCGUAUGCCCAAUCAGGGCAUAUGGAAGAAGCUGAGACUCUCUUCAAAAUGAUACCUCAAAGGAACGUUGUAACAUGGACUACCAUGGUGGCGGGCUAUGCACAAAACGGAAAUUUACCAAAAGCAAGAUACACUUUUGACAUGGCGCCGGUUAAAAACCUUGUGACGUGGAAUACCAUGGUAGCAGCAUAUGCCCAAUGUGGGCAGAUUGAGCAUGCGAGACAGGUGUUUGAUUCCAUAGUCGAUCGUGACGAAAUCUCGUGGACCAUUAUGAUCCAGGCAUAUUCUUUGCUUGGCUACGUAGACGAGGCCGUGAGAUUCUUUCACAGAAUGACAAGCCGAGACAGGGUCGCUUGGACUACCAUGGUACAGGUAUAUGCGCAGAAUGGUUACUAUGGCGAGGCAAAGUGGGUGUUUGACUCCAUGCCAAAUCGCGACGUGGUAGCUUGGACUUACUUGAUCCAGGUGUACGGGCAGAACAAGGGUCACGCAGUUGCGAAGGAACUCUUUGACUCGGCACCCGUACGGAACCUGGUAACUUGGAAUGCGAUGAUCCAAUGUUAUGCCCAAGUUGGGCAUGGGACCGUUUUGCUGCCUUUUAUGAUCCUGGAGGGUUUUGAUCCGGAUCAAGUGACUUUUAGCAUUGUUCUCGGCACUUGCAGUCACUCUGGGUCGCUGGCAACGAGUAGAAGCGUUUUUCUGUCGAUGGUGGCGGAUCAUGGAGUUUGCGUGGAGCUGGAACACUACCGAUGUAUGAUCGACACUGUUGGGCGAUCUGGAGACUCUAGGAAUGCUCGGGAGCUUGUUGAGAGUAUGCCUUACAAGGCUGACAGUUUUGCGUGGACGAUCCUUCUCGGGGCUUGUAAUGUUAGCGGUGAUCCUGUUCAAGAACUUCAGUUUUGUAUUUGUAUCAUAUUUUCGUGAAGAAUACAUCUAAAAUUACGUUGCAUCCGAAAUUUUCUUGAAAACGUAGUAAGAACUUCAGUUUUGUAUCAUAUUUUCGUGAAGGAUCCUCUAAAAUUUGUCUGCAAACAAAAGUACAUAGUAAACGGUUGUCAGCUGGCUCACCCUACUUUUGGGAAACUCUAAAGCUAUCCACAAGGACAGAACUUAUACGAUUAUUCACAGUUUUGAAUGAGUGCCCGCCUGAUAACGUUUUGGCACGGUCUGGCAAGUAAACACAAAGAAUUUUUCCGUAUUUACCUUUGUUAACUGUUAGUCAUGCCCAAGCUGUAUUAUUGGGUGAUUGUAUACAUUGUUUGCUCUUGGCACAGAGCUUCAUUACCAGAAGAGCGCUUGUGCUGCCCAAGGUCAGGAUCAUGGUAUAAGGUUUGAAGGUAUGUGAUAAGUGGUGUAGAAGAUCUUUUCUAAUGAUGCCUGGGGAGAGAUUUGGGAUCGGGCAAUUGGAAUUGGGGUGUGGAAAACCGACCAAUGGAUGGACAGGAACAGAAAUGGCCAUGAGAGUGGAAAACAUGAUUGCAUUAUACGGACGCAAUUGCACAAGUCAAGUGGACUUUCCAUUUGUGAGGUUAAAAGGCAGUUAAGGAAUUGUUGUGAAUGUGAAGAUUUUAUUGGGACAUUGGUUUUGAGAUCCAUGGACUAUUGACAGUUUACAAUGACACCAUGGGAUACUUGCAAAUGAUCUUAAACCAUGCCAUAACAAAUGCUUCGCUCUAUUUCAUACGUGAAAGGAUCAAGAGGGAUAUAGUGAAGGGUGGUUAGUAUUUGUGACAUUGUCAGGUUAAGGUAGGCCUCAUUGGUGUUUAUUGACAUUUAACAGUGUAGAAGUCUAUUUAAAACUUGCAUUGUGAGUUGCCAGUGUGAGAGGAAUUGGCUCGAGGCUUGCAACAUCCUGUGCAAGUGCCUUGAGUUGAGUCAUCACGUGUGAGAGCUGCUGGCAUUGUUUUCUUCGUGUUUGGGGAAUCCCCUUGUGCGGCAUUUGGGGCUACAGUGUGCUCUAGCCCCUUAAUGCCUUCACCACGGGGUUUCUUGUGGCCGGCUGGGGAAAUCAAGUGGCUCCAAGAGUUUUAUAAGUGCCAGAGUGAGAGUUUGAUGCUGGCAUCACUUCUUUUCCAUGCUGGGACUCUUUUCCUGAGGCUUCUAUAAGUUGUGCCACCUUUUGCAGCUGAGCUUAUUGAGCUGUCAAGCUGGUGACACAUGGGUUAGUUGGGAAGAGUUAGAUCGGGUUGAAUUUUUUUAUAAUAAAAAUUAAAACCAAGAGUUUAGAAGUGAAAAAUCCAUAAUGUUACCAGGACUGGCUAACUGAGCAUGUUUGCCCUAAAAUUUCAAAUUUGAGGAUAUUCCACGCAUUUAGAGCUCUAGGGUUUGAUGCAUGGCGAGAGCGGCUUGCCGCAGAGCCCCGGAUUGCCGGCGAAGUUCUCCGGAUCCAUGGUGCUGAGCGGCGCUCCAUCGGGUAUGGCGCCAGUGAGCUGGUUGUGGGAGACAUUCAAGUAGUGCAGGUUCUUGAGCGCCAGGAACUCCACUGGAAUGCCGCCGCUCAAGCGGUUCCUGUCCAGGUAGAGGCCCGUGACUUGGCUCAGCUGCGCGAGCUCCGGUGGGAUCCUUCCAGUGAUGCUGUUGGAGCUCAGCCUCAGUACUGCGACGCUGUCGAUUUCGUCUUGGGUCAUUGGGAUCUUGGAGAACCAGCUCGGGAUGGCUCCUGUGAGGUGGGAAUGGUCGAGAGUGAGGAAGGAGACUUGGGAGAGUGUGGUCAGUCCCUCGAGAGCCUGAAAGCUGAGAUUGUUGUGACCCAGUCCAAGCGAGUAGAGCACUCCUUUUCCCAAGUUGGACAGGUCCGCUGGUACUCCGGUGAGAAAGUUGGAGCUAAAGUCCGAGUUAGUCAGCCUGGGGAGAGUUUCUCCAAAGCUGUCUGGGAGUUUUCCUUGGAGCUUGUUGAAUUGGAGGAAGAGAUUUGUGAGGUUGGAGUUCCUUCCGAGAGCAGCGGGUAUAGUUCCGGUGAUGGAGUUGAAGGAGAGGUCGAUGAGACACGAAGAUCCCAGGGGCUGUUGCUUGAGGUUGAUGUUUGCAAACCAGGAAGGUAUCGGUCCUUGGAGCUUGCAGCGGCUGAGAGAGAUUGUCGAGAGCUCCGGGAGUGUUGCCAGUCCAGAGAUGGCGUCAAAGCUUCUGAUAUCGUUGUUGUCUAAGUAGACACCGUUCAAGUUGACGAGCUUAGCCAUGUUGGUGGGAAGUCCAGUGAGGUUGUUCAUCGAAAGCUCGAGGACUGUGAGAUUCUUGAGGCCUCGAGCAAAUCCUUCUGGAACUCGACCGGUCAGCAGGUUUUUGGAGGCCCAAAAGACUUCAAGACUGGAAAGAAGUCCCAGAGAUUCAGGAAUGCUGCCGCUCAAUGAGUUGGACAUAACGUCGAGUUUGACAAGUCUGCUAAGUUGGCCGAGAGAGCUCGGUAUUUGUCCCGUAAGCCCAGUGCUGGAGACCGAAAGCUCUUCCAGGGAAGAGAGCUGGCCGAAGGAGCUGGGGAUGGGACCACGCAUACCUGCAUUUUGAGACAGCUCCAACACUUUUAGCUUCUUCAGGUUCCCAAGCGUGUCGGGGAUUCGUCCAGCGGCUUUGGUGCCGGAGAUUCUCAGCGUUUCCAAGCUGGUAAGCUUUCCAAUCUCAACAGGUAUACUGCUGCUGACGAGCGUGUUGGAAAUGUCCAGGAAACGCAGCUUGGGGAGGUUGCCGAGAGAUGGAGGAAUGGAACCAGAAAACUUGGUACCACUCAAGUCGAGAUACUCCAGGUUUUGAAGGCCGCCGAGAAACGCCGGUAUGGACCCUGUGAGGCGGAGGCCGUCCGAGAGAUCGAGCGUUUGAAGAUUUUUGAGUUUACUCAAGGACGAAGGAAUGGAGCCCGUGAACCAGCUUCCUUGGAGAUUUAAGAUGGUGAGAUUCUCGAGGUUGGCGAGGAACGAAGGAAUGCUGCCGGCAGACGCAUCAGCUCUUUCCAGGAUGAGCUUCCUCAAGCUGGUAAGCUUUCCAAUAACCGAUGGAAACGGUCCUUCGAAUCUGUAACCUGACAGAUCCAGCGUUUGCAGCGUGGAUGCGAGCUGAGCAAGCGACGCUGGCAGUGCUCCGGAGAAGAAGUUGGUGCCCAAGUCGAGAACCUCCAGCCGAAGUAGCUUACCAAGGGUGGAAGGUAUCGGACCGUCCAUGCUAUUGCCGUGGACGUUGAGCGUACGGAGGUGGGAGAGGCUUCCCAGCUCCGGAGACAGCGUACCUGUUAAUCCCAGGGACUCCAGCUUGAGCUCGCUCACCCGGCCGCUAACUCCAUCGCAUUUGACACCAGACCACUCGCAGCAACUGGAUUGCGGGCUCCAAGUGGUAAGUAGCUUGCUUCGAUCUUGGUCGGCGUCCUUGAAAGCCAGCAGUGCCUUUUCAUCUUCACUGUUGCAGGACGCCGCGGUGGUGUGGUGGGCGAGCAGUGAAACUGUCAAAACAACAAGGAAAGAGAUGCUUGUUCUAGACAUUGCGACUAAACAGUGACAAGUCUCUU
rnacentral:lncRNA from 1 species